ensembl:lncRNA
ACUUGGCUGAACUGUCCAUGAGGACGCCAGACAGCAUGGACCGCCAGAGGGCCAUCUUUGGGUGGAAAUGGAUGGUGGAGAGGUACUUUUGGCUUCUCACCACCACUUUGGAGGAACUUGGGCUGAAGGACAAACCUCAUCAAAUUUACAACUGUGAUGAAACAGGAUUCAGCAUUGAGCAGGGCAGGUGCAAAGUACUGGCACCCCUGGGCGCUGCUCAGGUGUACCAGCAGGCCCAGGGGACAAGAGACCACCUGUCAGUACUGGCCUGCCUAAAUGCGGUUGGGUAGGAUGUUCCUUCUUUCAUAAUCUAUAAGAAACAUUCCCCGGAGGCCCCUUAACCCAAGGAGGACCUCCAGGUGCCCUGUAUGGCAAGUCGCCUGCAGGGUACAUUGACGGGGAGCUGUUCCUCAAGUGUUUUGGCUAUUUUAUUGCACAUGCCAACAAGGAGCGCCCUCUGCUCCUUACAUUAAACGGCCACAAGAGCCACCUCAUCAAAGAGGAUAUAGCAGCAGCAAAGAGGGAGCACCCCCCUGCCACCGCACCUGCUCCACCCAUCACCACAGCUCCACUCUCCACCGUCCCAGCCAGUGCCUCCUCCUCCUCCUCACCCCCUGCAGCCACCCCAUCAUCAUCCUCCUCUACCACCACAACAACAGGUCAGAAGAGGUAAGCUCCGGCACCGAAGACAGCUCAGAAGACGAAGAGAAGUGCCAGGGGGGACCGAGAAGCACCCACGGCACAAAAACAAGAUUCAGUACUUGAGUCGGCAGGCUGGGGUGAGCCUCGGAGACAGAGUGAGGAGAAUGCUGAGAAAGAACAGCAGCAAUGAACUGUGGGGCCACUACAGCAACAAGGGGAGGAAGGGGAAACUGACAUUUUAGGCGCUGCCCAUAAACCAGGCAUUGAUAAGGGCAUGUCUGAAGGCCUAUCCAAAAAUAAAAGAUGCUGACACGUCCGCCCGUGGACGAGGAGGAGGAGGAAGAAGAGGAGGAAGUGGAAGCGGAAUUCCAACAUUGAACAUUUAAUUUAAUUUAAUUUAAUUUAAUUUAAUUUAAUUUUUUAUUAUUAAUAUUAAACUAUAUUAAACUAUAAAUAUGACCACAUUUUAUCCUGAAUGUGUGUUUCUUUUAGCUCGGAGAAAAUAAAAAUGGUAUUAGUCUAGUAGAAUUAAGUCACAGCGACAGAAAGGUUGUCAAAAUCACAUCUAGCAUUGUUAAAACAGUCUUUUGAACGUCCUUGAAUAACGUCCCCA